rnacentral:lncRNA from 1 species
CAAGAGCUGUAUAUUGCUUACAUCGUAAUCAACUGAAAAAGAAAAGAACAACUCUACUGUAGCUAAAUAACUUUUAGCCAUCAUUGCACACAUUUAGAAUUUCUUAAGCCAUAAGGAACAGAAACUAGAUUCCAAACACCUUAAAUAAUAAGGAAAAUACAUUACUUCAACAAGAGAGAGAUGAGUCAGCUCUGGCUGUUUAUUUCAGUAACUUCAACAACAUAAAAAAAGGACCCAGGUUCUUUCCAUUUUUUAGCUCUGCCCUUGCAAGAGAGGAAACUCUAUACUCCAGGUUAAGCGACCUUGAGUUCCCAAAAUGCAUGACUUGGUUCCUCAUGUCACAUCCAGACAGGACAACACCCACUGGAAGAGGAACGCUUGCUCAAGUCUUCUCCACACCUCCCCAACCCAUCCUCAGCAAGGAAACAUUUCCUAGCAGCCCAAUUGGCCCAGAACUGGAUCACAGGCCACACACUAUUGGGCUUAGACUGAUAAGAACCUAACCCUCAG